rnacentral:lncRNA from 1 species
UUUUUCUUUUUUGUUUGUUUUGUUUAAACAGAAGGGUAUUUUAGUCAUUUUACGAUAAAAAUUGGUAAAAAAAAGACGUCUAACGCAAAAAAAUGUGAAAAUAGAGGUAAAAAUAUCAAAAAAUAAAAAGUAUGAACGUUUUACACAAUAAUUUCGAAAGGUAAUGACGUUUUUUGCCAAUUACCUUUUUUAAAAUAUUCUUCCAAGCUCUAAAUUAUAAACAAUAUGUCUCCAUUGGUCUAAAAUAUCAGCGUUGACUCGCUAUUCGAAAUGUUAAAACUGAACUCUCACCCAACCUCGUUCCUCCCUAUAUAUUUAGGUCUCUAUUACAAUUAGGCUUCCAUUGCAAAAAUCCCGACGGAUGAAGGAGGCAAAACAGAGAGAUGGAAAUUUCUAAGGGUGGUUAUCCCUCUCUAUUUGCCUGUGAUUUCACUAUCCACAAAAUCUAACUGCCCUUUUAUACUCGGGUUUCUGAGCGUAUAUAUUCGGGGAAAAUUUCACCAAUGGUCACUGAAGUUUUAGCAAAACAUAAGCCUGCUUGGGAGUUUAUGAGUACCGGUUAUGGGGGUUUUAAGCAGCUCUUUGUUUGAUAAAGCUUUUUGAGAUUGCUGCUGCUGCUCAUACUAUGUGUAGGCUGUGAGGAUUCUUUUCGUUGAGUUGGGUCGGGCAAGGAAAAUUCGGAGCCGUAUCUUGGCGGGGCAANN